rnacentral:rRNA from 1 species
GACGAACGCUGGCGGCGUGCUUAACACAUGCAAGUCGAACGGAAAGGCCCUGCUUUUGUGGGGUGCUCGAGUGGCGAACGGGUGAGUAACACGUGAGUAACCUGCCCUUGACUUUGGGAUAACUUCAGGAAACUGGGGCUAAUACCGGAUAGGAUCUCCUGCUGCAUGUGGGGGGUUGGAAAGUUUCGGCGGUUGGGGAUGGACUCGCGGCUUAUCAGCUGGUUGGUGGGGUAGUGGCUUACCAAGGCUUUGACGGGUAGCCGGCCUGAGAGGGUUACCGGCCACAUUGGGACUGCGAUACGGACCAGACUCCUACGGGAGGCAGCAGUGGGGAAUAUUGCAGAAUGGGCGGAAGCCUGAUGCAGCAACGCCGCGUGCGGGAUGACGGCCUUCGGGUUGUAAACAGCUUUCGCCUGUGACGAAGAGUGAGUGACGGUAAUGGGUAAAGAAGCACCGGCUAACUACGUG